ensembl:lncRNA
CUUAAACUCUUGAGCAUCUAGAAUCCACUACAACAUUUAAAAUGGCAGCUGAUGUCUGUGGGAACCCUGGAUGUUUAGGAGCUGGCUAAAGCUAGAGUUCUCAUACUCUUUGAUUAAGGGCACCACUUUCAGAUAAAAACAUAGACCUGAAUGGCAUCAUCCAGUAUCCAAGGAAACCAUCGUGGUUCCUUGCUAAGCAUAAAAGUGUUUUCAUAUUCUUUAUGAAAGUUACAAAAAGGAAGAAGAGAGAUAUGGAGGGAGAAAGGAAAGAAAAGAGGAAAGAAAAAUGGCCAUGGGAGGUGGAAUGUCAGUGAUGCUGAAGGUUUGAACCUGGAUGAUCUCAGAAAAGGGCAGCAAGUUUUCUGGCUCUGCCUUGAAGAGAGAAGAUCCUGGAGUAGCAGGUGUGUGUCGCAGCAGGAGCAGAGGGUAAUGAUGCCGGGGUGCCAUGCUAGGUAACAUGCACAACCGGUUUGUUUGAACAACAAGAACAUGUUAAAUUCAAGCCUUCCUAUGGAUUUGCUCUUUUCUCACUUCUGGUUGAAAUCUUAGUCAUCCCCACUGAUAUCUGCACCAUUUCCCGAUAUCAAAAAAGGAGGCUUUCAGUGCAAGAGUGGUGGAUGGCAGGGGUAAGUGGUCAAAGAACUCAGUAGAAAAAGAGUAAUGAUUCAAGGACCCUUAAAACUGUGUAAAAAGGUGAGUCUGGAGGUAAGAAUGUAUGUGGAGAAAGCGUGAGAGAAAAAUGAAGGCUUAAUUUAGGAUUAGCAAAAGAAUCAAAGAAAAUGACCAGGAGGAGAGAGGAGAAUGAGGACCGUACAUGCACAGGGUAAUGGUGGAGCAGUUCUCAGAGAUUAAGAUGGCAUUAAUGUGAUUUUUAGAGAGAUAUUUCAAAUUUUUGGCAACACAUUCCAACAGCAAUAAUGCCGAAGAGCCAUCUGAAAUCAGGGGCCAACAGAUGAGGGCUUUCUUUAACUUUAUUCUUGAAUUGCAGUCAAGAUUAACUUCUGUAAACCCCAUUGUGUGUGGCUGUGUGUGUGUGUGUGUGUUUUAGUUUGUUUCCAAAGCACUGUCUCAGUUUAUUUUUUCAGUUACCCCCACAAGGUCCCUGUGAGUUAGCUCCGCAGCAUCAUCAGGCAAAUCUCCUGACUCUCAAUUCUUAGCUAAUUGCAUUAGAAAAUAUUGACUUUAAUUGUGUGUGAAAGGUGAACAAAUUUUGUAUUAAACAGUCACCAGAUUUUAGAACAAGAGCUAAAGUUCAGGAAAGGCUUGGAGUUCCAAAGAAUAGAAAGACAUGGAAAAGAGCAGAAGUAGCCAUUCAGUCGGAGUCAAUAGAAUUAACCCAGCUAGUAUUUGAGCCUUUGCUCUCUGAAGUUAUGGGUCAAUGAUGUCGAAACAGAUACUCACCUCUGACAAAGAAAGGCAUGAAUACUGGCGUGAGAGGACAUGGCUCUUUUUCUUUGAAUCCCAGAUCAAAUUUAAACCUGUGAUUUUGGAGCUUACUCAUCAGAGGAGAAAUAUCAUGAGCUAUUUGCUCUCUCUGCUGUAACACAGCUCUGGCACGCCUGGAAGUUAUGUUGAGAUCGUCAAAUCUACAGUCAAGGACCAUCUUUGUGAAUCAUGAAACCAUAUGCCACUGGUUGUCUGAAUUGAAAGAAAAAAAACAACAAAAACAAAAACCCCAACUCUACACCAAUGAAACUAGUGAUGUGAUCAGACAGUGCCAGGGGCCAUUUGACCAUCUUAUACCUUCUCAAUCUAUACAUUAAAAAGAAAUCUCUGCUAUUGCCUGAGCCAUGUAAAAUACCAGAACUCCUGUAGUGCUAACAAGGAAUAAAGAUCUUGCACCAGAUGGUGCCUCUUGUCUCCAUCUAUCUCUAGCCCAAACAAUCUGCCAGAGUUUUGAAGAAAAAUGCAAUGUGAUCGUGUUGCAAAGUAUAUGAAGAAACAGUAUGAAAAGUAAUCUGGCUCAAGCAGUGGAACCCAGAAGGAAAGGGAUUAUUAUGACUCUUUGAGCCUAUGGAUGAGGGUGCUGUUAUCUCUGCACAUUAGUCCAUAAAACAAAUGGUACAUCCAGGCACAGCUGGAAGGAGAGUAUCUCACUGAGAUGUCUCUUCGCAUCUCUGCAACAUUUUGAUAUUAGUCAAUCUGGUUGAAAUUUCAGGAAUUCAUCUGGAUAUUUUGUUUAUAUAACAAAAUAAACAGUUUGAUGACUUUUUAAAAACUUACUAGCUAUAAAGGGAUAGUGCACAGAAGAAUUAUAUUAUUUAAUAUGUUUUUCUGUAUCAUCUCGCAUACUGAAUUUGUCCAUAUUAAUGAUGAGAACUUGCAUACAGUUUCUAUGUCCCUUUUGCAGAAUAUUCUUAAAAUUUUCUUUAAUAAGCUUGUAUGGGCUUUUUGGUCAUUUCUCUGCUUCUCAUUAAGACUUUUGUGACCACAAUGUUUUCAAAUAUCUUCUCAUCCUCUCAUACUUCUAUCAAGAUAUUGGUACCUCUUUGCCAUAAGACCUUUGACAGUUUUAUCUAACACCUAUAGGAUUUGAAAGUGCUUUAUGAUCAGCGGAUAUUUACUGGAGAGAAAAGACCUUCCCAGGUCCUUUCUAGAUGCAACUCAUCUGAACAGACAAUAUAAUUUUAUUUUACUUGUGGUGCUUGGACUGGAAUGAUGUAAAUGACAAGCCUAGAAAAUAAUGGUGAUUUGAUAGAAGGUAGCUCAUUGGUGCUAUUCAGAGUGUGGUCUUCAGACUGAUUCUGAUUGGCAAACUGAUAAAGGUCUAUGAUUAGACAAAUGCAGAAAUUGAGAGUCAGCAUUUAGAAAUUUCUACAGCAAUUUGACAUGGCUGUGACAUCCAAGCAUGUGAUCACUUCUCCAGAAGUUCAUUUUAGUUUAGUUUACCAAAGUAUCAGUCCAUGAUGGAUUGGAGGAAAUAAAAACUCUGUUCACUAAUUGUGUUCAGACAGCUUACGAAGCACCACUUUAGAGUCCAUAAUUUCAUGAUUUUGUGUAAGAUGAGAUUGAAGUAGAGACAAUGGAUCCACACACAAAGAGAAGGUUAUAGCAAUCAUCUAGUUACACGUUAACCAUGACUCAGGAGCUUUACUGGGAGUUGUCGAAGGAAAGGAAUACGUAUAUCUUGGAAAUGUUACAUGGAGAAGGAAUAAGAUAUAGUCUUGAACUGAGCAGGCCAUGUGACAAGGAGACAAAUGCUGCCCCGGCAUUAGCCUAGAUGGUGCUGCUGCCGAUAGAUGUAGAAAAGCUUCAUUGGAAAGACAGCCUCAAAAACACUAGGAAUUCUGGCUUUUUAAUUCUGAGUCAGUGCUGGCAAAACAUCCAUUUAGAAAUUUGCAGUGAACCAUGAAAGACUAUGGACCUCACUGAAGAGUUCAAUAUUAGAAAUUUAGAACAGACGGGAAAUUCUUCCUGAUAGCUGUCCUGAGAAAGAGAAGUUUUCUUCUUCACAUUUUCUCAAGUUUGAGAUGAGAUAACGCUAUUUGCAACUUAUCUUCUUUUUCAUUAUAAGGUAGAUACAAUACCUCAUGGGCGUGGAUGAAAGACACGUUCUCAGUACACUCCUGCCUUUGUGGGAUAUGUUGGCAUAUUCCACGCACUGAAGAAACGCCAUGGCUAGGUUAGCCCAUAAUAAGAGUAGCGAAGUCUGCUUAAUGAUGGUGUAUUUAAAUGAUGCUGGAAAUAAAACUUUUUUUGGUAUCUCAGAUUCGAAUGUUGUCAUGGAAAUAUUAUUAGAAAUAAGUAGUGGUAAACUCUCUUCAGGUUAUUUCCAUAACACCUUUUCUUUUUUUCUUCUUUAACCUCUUAAUAGAGUUGAAAUAAUGUUUUUAGUGCCAACAAUAGUAUCAUUAUGAUUUCUGAUUUCUAGUUGUAGUAUUAUAAGUGAUAUUGUUAAUUGUGUUUUAAACUUUUUGUCAGUUAGUAGGUUUUUUAUGGGCUGUGAUAAUGAUCCAUAUGGACAACUGUUUAUAUCGUUGCUUUUAUGGAAAUCCUAUGCCAGAGUUGAGGCUAGAGGAAAGGUUGGUACUUCGUCUAAUUCAUCACACACACACACACACUCACACACACACACACACACAACUACCAGAUGAUCUCUUUUGACUCCUUGGUGCAAGUAGCAAAGGAAAUGUUGGGACUCAGGUAAAGAUUCAUCUCUCUAGGUCUUGGAGAGCCUGCAGUUCACCCAAAAUGUGGAUUGUUUGUUUUUAAAGAUGCAUCAUAGAAGUACUGGCUUCACAGUUGGAAAGAAAUCCUUGUCAUUUUAUCUUCUUUUAUCAAAUACCUAACCCAGUUCCAUUUUAGCCCUGCUGCCCAGGGAAGAGGCACAGUUCCACCUGCUGCUGGCCUCUGAGGGGAGUGGGGAGUAGAAUGAUAGCUCUCCCUGAGCUUUGGGAAGUGUGUUGCUUGCUGAGUUUAACCUCACAUUGAACCAAUGGCAGAGGCCAAGACAACGUCAGCUAAAUAAUCUCCCUUUUAGCUCAUUAACACAUAGGAAAUGUAUAGGCAAAGUUACACUUUCUGUUUUAUUUUUUCCUUUUUCUUUCUUGACCAUCCUUCUAAAACUUCCCACUGCUUCUGCCUUCAUGUCUUUGUGCUCUUCCCUCUGUAUGGGCAUCGUUUGAUGGGCAGGGAGCGCCUGCUUUCACAUUGCUCGUCAUCUGAGCUGUCGUCUCGCGUGCAGGGUAUUUCAAUGCGAUUGCAUCUCUAUUCAUCUACUGACAGAAGUGGCAAUGAUGCAGACAGGGAUAUUUGUUAUUGAAACAAACAAAGCGUGUGGUGUUAUAGAUUCGUAUGUAAAACCUUCACAACAAAACUAAGUAGCUAUUUACUUUAAAUAUGCCAAUUAACUGUUACUAAUGUACAGUGCAAUUCUAGGUUAAGGAUGAUUGAUAGUAACACGCCGUGAAAUGUUCUUAAACUACAGUCAGGAAAUGUAAAUGUACAAAAUGGAAAGAACCAGCGGCUGACAGCACUAGUUACAUGUUUCAAAACAACACUUUCAAAUUGUUCCUUUAUUGUUCUUUCAUCCUUUCUCUAUUCUGCACUUCUACAGCCUGGUAGCCAACAGUAUACUAAGAAAGUUCUGGAAAAGAGAAAAUGUUUUAGUACGAAGUAAACAUCAUGGGCCUAAUCUCAUCUGUUUCGCUCAGGCAGAACUCUUAGGAACCACAGUGGGAGUUUUGCUUGACUGAAGAGAAUAGUCUUGUCUCUUUUAAAUGUCUGACAUUGAAUCUGUCGCUAUUACACCACUAAUUAAAAGGAGAGUUGACUUCUCCUUACUUGCUAUGUCCUGUCUAUGUGCAGUCACUUCUUCAUUUGCUCUGAGCAGCACCAUCCAAAAGAAAUACAAAGAAAGCCACAAAUACUAGCCACAUAUAUAUUCUUAAAUUUUCUAAGAGCCAGAUUUAAAAAGUAAAAGUAAACAGGUGACAUUAAUUUUAAGAACAUUUAUUGAGCCUGAUAGAGCCAAGUUAUUAUCAUCUUAACAUAUAAUCAAUGUAAAAUAGGAAUAAGGUAUUUUGUGUUCUUUUCUUCAUACUAAGUCUUAGGAAUCUGGUGUGUAUUUUAUGGUUACAGCUUAUGCCAGUUCAGGUGAACCACAUCUCAAGGUUUUGGUGGCUUUCCGUGGCCAGUGUCUACUGUAUGGGACAGCAUAGCUCUAUAUGUCACCAUUUGACGAUCAGUCUAAUAUCUGUGAUUAAAAUGUUUACACUGGGCAGUCAGGAAAAGCUGGGUAUGCAUCCUCAAUCAGCGCAAUGAUACAAUUUCUGUUCAAUUCUGCCAGUUACUGCUAAAGCCCACCACCUUUUUGGAGAAAGAUUAGUCAAAUUUCAUAAACUCUGCCAGCUGCCUGAUGAUUUUAUACAGCUACCUGGCUGUUAAAUACUAAAGUGUCUGUAGCAGGGGUACUAUGUAAAUAUUCUUUUAGUAAAAUCUCAAAAGAAAAAAAGGAAUUACUUACAAAAUAAAAACAUAACAUCAAAGUCCUUUUGGUUUGCAUCAUUUAAAUGUCAGUUGAACAUUUUCAUGAUGCAUUUCAUGUUCCUCACAACAAUGAAAGUUGAGUGUGUAUUGUUAGAAAAACAAUCAGUAAGUGCAGAUAUUGUCAAAUGAACCCUCUGAGAUGGAAAAUUGGAUCUACUUAACUCCAGUUAAUUAUUUAUUAACACCAACUGUAAACUAAAAAAUGUAAUGCAAACACGAUUAAGCAGAAAUUGAACAUCCAACAAGGAGGAGAUAAUAAAAGAGAAGCUAUUUUUUUGGAAUGAUAGGAUUUUCCACAAUCAGACUAAUUGUAUUAAUUUAGUAUCUCCUGUGUGCCACACCCUGGUAAAUGCUGUGGAGGUAAAUGAUAACAACAAUAGCAACACAAUUAUGUCAUACUUGUUCAGAUUUGGGGAGGACGUUUGUGCAACGAGCAAUCUCCAAAACAAACCAUAAUAAACUAAGUGCUGUAAUUAAGGUGAUUAUCAGAAGUACUGAAAUAAUCCAUAAGUGUGUAAUCUUUGAAGAAUCAUGGAGAAUUGUGGAAAGGCACCCAUUUCCGCCCCUUCCCUGCUCUGCUCUGGCCCCCGUCCUAGCUGCGUUUCCCAGAUUUCUGUGUCAGCUGACUCUCCAGUGGGUUCAGCCAGUGGGAAACCACGGUGGGAGAGUAAAGGGCUGGAGGAAGGGUAAAGCCAGGUUGUUUUCCCUGUUUCUUGGUGCCUCAGGUUAUAUCUCUGGGAAUGUCUCAAGGAAUGUCUUUUCUGUAGGUGCAAUGCCUGCUCUGCAUUGCUGUCACAGUUCUGUCUUCCUCUGGGUAACCCUGACUCCUGGCCCUGAUGUCACAGACUUCUCCCUUUUCUCCUCUAGUCUGGAAGUGCUAGUGAUUUGCUGCUAUUUCUGCUCUCUGGCUGGCCUCCUCACUCCCUGUUUAGUGAGCCUUUGUGCUUCUGUGUAACCAAUUCCCUGUAUUAAAUCCACCGCCUUCCCUCAUUUUAAAUACUUAGAGCUGCCACACCCCCACGCCCCAGUUGAAUUGUGACUGAUAUGAAAUAUAGAUUCUGGAAACAAAAAUGAGCAAAGUUCCAACUGAAUUAUUAAACAGAUUGCUUAGGUGCACCCAAAAGUAGGCAGUGAUUACUAAGAGCCAGCAUGAGUUUUUAGGAGCAAUCAUGACCAGUUCCCUUUGCUUCUUUAAUCGGUGGUUGAAGAAAUAUUGGCAUUAGUACAUGAGCAAGGCCUUUGAAGUGAUCUCUCAUGAUGUCCUUGUGGUUAAUAGACACAUGUGUGCUGGAUGAUACAGAUUUAGUCAGGUUUAGAGGCUGUACUGGAAAAUACCUAGAGGGAACCAUGGCUGCCUUUCAAUAUUUGAAGAGGGAUUAGAUUAAAUCUUUGAAACACUAGAGGCCAGAGCCAGGAUCAAUGUUUGAAGUUCAGGGAAUCUGAUUUUGGCUCAGUAAAUGGAAGUGCGUUCUAAGAAUUAGACUUCUUCAGAAAUGGAAUAGGCUGUCUAUGAGGGAGAUGAUUUCUGUCCGUGGUUGUAUCCAGACAGAUUUUACCUGUGAGGGAUGGAGUAAAGCGGAUUCCUGCAUUGAACUUGAAAUAGAUUAUUCUGAAAGUCUCUUCCGACUCUGAAAGCUUAAGAACUUGUGAAUAUCAUCAUCCAUGCUUGAUACUAGCAUGGCACCAAAUGUAAUUUUGUCAUUUGAUGAGACUUCAGAAGGAGCCCCAAAACUUGCUCUGCCUCUGGGUGAUCAUGGUUAAUAUAAGAGAUCACUGUCCUAGUAAAGAACCAAUUAAUCAAAUUUCCUGGUUUACAGAAGCACAAAUAUACUAUUUUCAGUUCAAAGAGAAAAUAUUUUUCUCUAGACAAUCAGCAUAAAAAUAAAGGGGCAUAAAGCCUGUGCAAAUACUACCUAAAUAUAAUCAUCGCUGAAUGUAUAUUUAGAAUAGAAAGGUACGCAUUCAAGAACUUUUGAAGGUUUUGGUGAGGAAUGACGUCAGUCCUGUGUGGGUUAGUUGUCAGGACGAAACUCCACUUUAUAAGAUAGUUUUUGUAGAAGACAAUGAAAUUUUUAGCAGAUAUUUUUAUCACCUGCUUUGACAGAAAACAGUUGAACUUCAGCUAUAAUCAAUCAAUCAAUCAUUCAGCAAAUUUUCAUCAAGCACAUGCUAUAUGCCUAGUGUCAGAGAUAGCCAUAGGCAAAGUUUUUAAGCAGGAUAAGUUGUUUUCUUGUCUCUUUUUCUCUUCCCACUACAUGUUGUCAUGCAUUUGAAAGGUUUCCAUUGACCUCUAGGUCUCUACCCUCUACUUCUCAGGAAUGGGUCUGAGAAAAUAUUUUGUCUAAGGCACAAAAUAUACACUAAGUAACACUACUUGUUGAAUAGACGUAUGAAUGAGUGAAUGCCUGAGUAUGCUUCUAUUAAGAGGAUUUUAUUCACUUGUUUCUUAUGAACAUCCUUGAGUACCUACUAUAAACAAAGCACUGAAUGAAUUCCACACUGUUCCCACUUUCAGAAGUCUCCAGGAUCAUGAUCAUAAGCCCAUGCACACAGAGCUAAUUAUAAUACAACACAGUAAGUGCUGUGCUACAGGUGUUAAACAAUGCUAUGGUAACAGAGAAGCGCAUGAUUAAUUUAUUAAUUCUGCUGCAGUGGGGGUUGGGCAAAAGGAAGGAACUGACAGGGGAAGAGCUUCAGUGAAGGGAUGACAUUUAAACUGAGAGUAAAAGAAAAAAAUGCUUCUUCCUGCAGAAAGGAGUAAGGGGAAGGAUCCUGUAAGCUGCAGAAGAGUUUGCAUGGAGAUUUAAAGAUGUUUGCUUUGUAGCAGCUACAGGUGUCCAGUGGCGUCAACCAGGGGCUAGGGCACCAUUGUGGGAAUUUAGGGAGACACGAUCUUUAAGGGACUUCAUGGAAAGUUGCUUAUUCUCCAGUGUAGGGCCAGUUUGGUCCAUUACUCUGUUAUAUACUAAUAUAUUAACAGUGCCCAAUAAUUACUCUUAGUGGUCUGAUAAAUUCAAUGAGUAAUGCACAUUGAGUUUUUAGGUUUCAAACACAAAUAUUCAACUUAAGCCUUAUGUAUUAAUUCUUCCUUUCAAAUCAAACUUUGCUGGCUCAUUUUUCAGUUAGGUGUUCACUUUGUAGAUGUAAACUCAUCUAUAGCAUGACAUACAAUAAUAUUAAUGUACUGCUAACAAGAUUUUUCCUAUAAAAACAUGUAUUUAUAACUUCAGCUCUGGUCUCCUAGCCCUUGAUCUUUUAGCACCUGCCAACUUUUAUGGCAGCUCGCAAAGCAAGGGCACCUUCCACAUCUCUACAUUUGCCUUUCCUCUUUUGGGCAGAAACAUUGAAAAAACAGCUUUCAGGCCAAAGGAAUGAAGGUGAAGACUGUAUACUCAGGCCUAUAUGGAUUUGCUACCCAAAAUCUACUUGGAGGAUCAAACUGCAGAUUUCAAUAGCUAUAGCCUGCAGGCUAUAAUUAACAAGACAAGAAAUAACAAGUAUUGGAGAGGAUGUGGAGAGAAGGGAACCCUCAUCACUGUUGGUGGGAAUGCAAACUGGUGCAGCCGCUAUGGAAAACAGUAUGCAGAUUUCUCAAAAAAUUAAAAAUAGACGUACCGUAUGACCCAGUUAUCCCACUACUGGGUAUCUAUCCAAAGAACAUGAAAUCAAUCAUUUGAAAAUAUUUAUGCACUCCUAUGUUCAUCACAGCCUUAUUCACAAUAGCCAAGAUAUGGAAGCAACCCAAGUACCCAUCAAGGGGUAAAUAGAUAAAGAAGAUGUGGUAUGUAUAUACAAUGGAAUACUACUGAGCCAUAAAAGACAGAGUUUCACCAUCUGUGACAACAUGGAUGAACCUUGAGGGUAGUAUGCUAAGCAAAAUAAGUCAGACAGAGAAAGACAAAUACUGUAUGAUUUCACUAUGUGGAAGAUAAACAAACACGUACAUUAGGAGAACAGAUUGGUGGUGACCAGGGAGGAAGUGGGUAGGGGGAGGACAAAAGAGGUAAAGGGACACAUAUGUACAAUGACAGAUAAAAACUAACUUAUUGUGGUGAACACGAUGCAGUCUAUACAGAAACCGAAAUAUAAUAUAUACCUGAAAUGUACACAAUGUUAUAAGCCAAUAUGAUCUCAAUAAAAUAAUAAAAAAAUAGUGGGAUGGAAGAAUCAAUAUUUUCAAAGCAUAUAUCCUCAAACAUUGUCUGUAGAUUGUACAAAUUUCUUGCACAUAUAGCUGCUACUAUUUUUAAUCUUGUAUAGUUUAUAUGUACUCUUCUGAUUUGUGAAAUACCAAUUAUUUGAAAUGCUGUUAAAUUCAUUGUGGUCUUGUAAAAAAUAAUUCUAGUAAUAAACUAGAAGCAAUCAGUAAAAGCAAACACUUAGGAAAAGAUCAAUUUCAGCUAGGAAGAUGUUAUAGUCAGAAUGUUCCUAGGAUUAUUAAAUCUGCAACUGAUUUACAUGCACUUUAAUUUAGUUUUCAGUUUUAUUAGUGUCAAAAUCUUGUUCUACUUUGGAUCUACUGAUUUUUCCAUUCCAGAGUCGAUGCCAUUUUUAAAGGAUGGUUUAAGAACCAAUAAUGUAAUCCACAUUCUGCUAAAACCUUUCGUAUAAGAGCUUUACUCAGAUGUACUUUUUUUGUUUAAAAAAAUCUGAUUUUAAUUGCCAAACUCCUUUUUAAAAUCAAUUCAGUGAAAAAAUGCUAUGGUUUUCUACUGUGUUUUUUUUCUUUCUUUCUUAAACUCAAGGGAAAAGAUGGAUGAACAACAAAAAAAGUACUUUGUAUAGAGUCUUCUUUAAUGUCUCACUUUGGUGAUGUAUGAAAUCAAAACCAAAUUGUUUGCCUCAGCUAAAAGGCUUAGUUUGAAUUAUCCAGAGUGCUUGUGUUUUGUAGUCAUUUCUUGUAAUGAUUUUAUUUGUUUCUCUGGUAUGCACCAUCAUAUUAACACAUGCUAAGUAAGGGACACUUUUUAAAUAUACAUGCUUUGGUUGUGGAAUCUGCCUCUUCUUUUGUCUGGGCCAAAAAUUAUUCUGGAGUUUCUAGUAAGAAUGGUUAAGGCAGGAUGAGUAGAAAAAGCAACUAAAAAAGAACUAAAGGAGAUGAACAAGAGUUUAUUUGAUACUAAAGGCCAUCUUUUGUGAUUCUGCUCUUUUGGGGAGAAUGCAGUAUUUCCUAUUAGAAUGUUUUUAUGAUGCCAAAAAAAUAUUUGGACAAUUUAAUCAAACCCAUCAAAGACCCUGAGUCAUUUAUAUGCAUAUUAAAUGUGUAUAUUACAAUUCAGUCAAAUGGACUGGCUUCUAGUACUAACUGAAAUCAUCUGUCAUACGGUCACUUCCAGUAAAUGAUCAGAAGAAAUCAAAUGGUUCAGGUCACUCAUUGGAAAGCGUUUUUAAGGAGAAAUUUCUUCCCAUCAUUGUGAGUGUAUUACCUAAGACCUUUUUGGUCAUAAUAGCAGAGAUCCAUGUCACACCGGCUUAAUUAAAACAUAAGAAUUUAUGGUAAGGAUGCGUCACAGAGCACAGAGGCAGGAGAUGCAACAACUGGGGCUUGUGAGGGACCACAGUUCUUGAAAUAUCUUUCUUCACUCCAAUUUUUCUGCCUAGAGGCCAAGUGUUAAAUUUCCUGUUAUGUCUGUCUGUCUGUCUUCUGUCUCAUCUCAAGGUCUGUUCUUUGGUGCACUCCUGCUUCAGUCUUCUCUUUCUGCUUCUCCACACCCUCUGCUGUCCCACAGCUCCCAAAGUUCUGUGUCCUCUAUUUAGCAAAGCCGUCCUCAGUCCAGAUUUGCAGGAAGGAAAAUCAAUCAGGUUAUCUUUGGCUUCGGAUGGGUGUUGACCCCAGCUACAUGCAAGAUAGGGUCUCAUGUACAAAUAUAGUUGGCAAGUUUUCAUUUCCAUGGGAAGGAGGGGAGUGUUGACUUCAGAGAAAAGGAAAUCUAGUGAGGUGGCAGACUUCUCAAAGGUAACCCAUUUAAAAAUAUAACCAAUUCAGUUCACUUAAAAACGCACACACACACACAAGUAUAGCCUAUAGUUUUUCUGUAACUACAGUAUACUCACUGAAACUUUACUAUGUAAGACAUUUAAGAAAUUUUUGGCUGCAAUAUAGUUUAGGAAAUUUACUCCAGAGAGGCAACAUACAUUGGGGAAAGAAUAAAGACUUUAGGGAAUGACAGAUUUGGGUUCCAUUUUUGGUCCCCACAUUUAGUAAGUUAGGGGCUGUAGGUAUUUAUUCCACCUUCGCAGACUCAGUUUGCACAUCUAUAAAAUGGGGAUACUGAUACGUACGUCACAGGAGUUCUAAUAAUUCACAGUUGUGUAUGUACAAUGACUGGAACACUAAUUCACGCUAAUAGUCAGUAAGUGGAACUGUCAUUACUAUCUAUACAUUUGGUGUGAUUUUCAGUCACAUAAUCAGCAGUUUAAAUUCAAAUGAAGUACAUAUAUGUUUGGCUCAAAAGGGGCUACUUUGAAGCAGCCCCUGAAGAACUUGAAAACAGAGAAAUGAAUAUUUUUUCUUAAACUAUAAACGCAACUCAAAAUGAAACAGAGAAAGAUAUGCAAAGGCAAUUUAAAGCAGUCUUUCCCAAACUGCUCUUAUGACUCCUUCCACAACCUGGUGAUAGAUACACAAUUCCUAAACUAUUAUUUAGUGUUUUCCAUUAAAUUAACUUUAUAUCAAUCUA